CCUACGGGUGGCAGCAGUGAGGAAUAUUGGUCAAUGGGCGGAAGCCUGAACCAGCCAAGCCGCGUGAGGGAAGACGGCCCUAUGGAUUGUAAACAUCUUUUGUCAGGGGGCAACGACGGCUACGUGUACCUGGACUGAGAGACGCUGAAGAAAAAGCACGGGCAAACUCCUUCCCAGCAGCCGCGGUAAGCCGGAGGAUGGGAGCGUGAUCGGGAUUUAUUGGGUUUAAGGGGUGCGUAGGCGGGUUAUAAGGUAGGCGGGAAAAUCGUGGGGCUCAACCCCACCAAGCCGUUGAAACUGGUGGUCUUGAGUUGGCGAGAGGUAUGCGGAAUGCGUGGUGUAGCGGUGAAAUGCAUAGAUAUCACGCAGAACUCCGAUUGCGAAGGCAGCCUACCGGCGGCCGACUGACGCUGAGGCACGAAAGCGUGGGUAUCGAACAGGAUUAGAUACCCUAGUAGUC
rnacentral:rRNA from 1 species